rnacentral:rRNA from 1 species
GACGAACGCUGGCGGCGUGCUUAACACAUGCAAGUCGAACGAAGAGCGAUGGAAGCUUGCUUCUAUCAAUCUUAGUGGCGAACGGGUGAGUAACGCGUAAUCAACCUGCCCUUCAGAGGGGGACAACAGUUGGAAACGACUGCUAAUACCGCAUACGAUCUAACCUCGGCAUCGAGGAAAGAUAAAAGGUGGCCUCUAUGGAUAAGCUAUCACUGAAGGAGGGGAAUGCGUCUGAUUAGCUAGUUGGAGGGGUAACGGCCCACCAAGGCGAUGAUCAGUAGCCGGUCUGAGAGGAUGAACGGCCACAUUGGGACUGAGACACGGCCCAGACUCCUACGGGAGGCAGCAGUGGGGAAUCUUCCGCAAUGGACGAAAGUCUGACGGAGCAACGCCGCGUGAGUGAUGACGGCCUUCGGGUUGUAAAGCUCUGUUAAUCGGGACGAAAGGCCUUCUUGCGAAUAGUGAGAAGGAUUGACGGUACCGGAAUAGAAAGCCACGGCUAACUACGUG